UUUGUUUCUAGUUCUAUUUACUUCUAUAUUCCCCUCUCUUUCGAGCCUUCUUUACAUUAAGAAAUACAAAAAAGGAAAGGCCAUUACCACUCUCCCUUGCUCGCUCGCUUAUUCUUGACAAUGAAUUUUGGAAGUGGGAGUUCAAGCGACAGCCUCCCUCUUCUGGAUGGUUCUCAGCAGGGAAGUGCUGAUAACAAAAUGGAGCCCAGUGCAGUUUCUGAUAACAAAAUGGAGUCCAGUGCAAUUGCUGGGGCACCAAGUGAUGUUGGUUUUGUUUCUUCUUUUACACCACCAAACAUGAUUAAUUUUGUUUCAUCUGGCCAAUUUCAAAGUCAACAAAUUCCAAAUCCUUCUAGAAGGUUUCAGCAACGAUCUUUUAGCAAACAAUUUGAGCCACAGAGGUUUCAACACUGCCAGCAGUCAAUGCAGCAGCACCCUGUUUUCCAUACCCAAUCACAGCAGCAACAGCUGCAAUUCCAAUCCUUUCAAGGUGGCUCUGAAAGUUUUGCUGGUUCUGUCAACUUGGGGCGAGGGCUAAUAAAUUCAAACAUCAGCCUUUCUAGUUUGGAUGGUUCUCAGCAGGGAAGGUUUGAUACCGCAAUGGAGCCUAGUGCAGUUUUUAUGGCAUCAAAUGAUGUUGGUUCUGUUUCUCCUUUUACCCCAACACACAUGAUGGAUUUUAUUUCAUCUGGGGAAUUUGAAAGCCAAAAAAUUCCAAAUCCUUCUAGAAGCUCUCAGCAACAGUCUCAUGUACAACAAUUUAAGUGCCAGAGGUUUCAACAUGGUCGGCAAUCAAUGCAGCAAUUCCACGUUUCCCCGAGCCAACCGCAUCGGCAACAACCACAAUCCCUAUCCAUUGAAGGUGGAUUUGAAGGCUUUGCAGGCUCUGCCAACUUGGAACGAGGGGUAAUAGGUGAUCAGAUUGGUCUACAGACGCAGUUGCACUCAGGUCCAGUGGUGCAAGAGCUGCAACAAAACCAGACUGGAAGAGGCAUAGGACGUGUACAACUUGAGAAUCAGGAUUCUAAAGAAGCACCAUACCUGCAGCAGCAGCAACACCAUUUCCCUCAAAUUUCCAGAGAGUUUGUUUCACAGUUGAACCCUUUACAACAGAAGCACAAUUUGCAGCAACAGCAGCUGCAACAGCAAAUGCUGAGGGCACUUCAUCAACAACAGCCUCAACUACAUCAGCAAUCUCAACAGCAGAAUGUGUCUUUUAAAUCUGCUGUGAGACCAGUCUAUGAACAGGGGAAAUGUUCACUUCAAUUAAUUAAGUACAUGCAUCAGCAGCAGCAUAGACCAAUUGAUAAUAAUAUGGAGUUCUGGCACAAAUUUGUUUUAGAGUUUUUUACUCACAAUGCUAGAAAGAGAUUGUGUGUUUCAAAGUAUCAAAAUAGGAACCCACCUGCUGUGUAUGAUAAGGAUUCAUGGGAUUGUGAAUUAUGCAAUCAGAAGCAUGUCCAUGGUUAUGAAGCAACUGCUACAUCUCUGCCUAGUUUAUUCCAAAUCAAGUAUGAAAGUCCCACUAUGGAAGAGCUUCUUUUUGUUGAUAUACCUCAUGAAUCUCAGAACUCAAGUGGUCAGAUUGUACUUCGUUAUCCAAGGGCAAUAGAAGAAAGUGUUUUUGAGAAUGUUCGUGUUGUACGUUAUGGUCAACUUCGUAUUGUUUUCUCUAGAGAUCUGAAGAUCUGCUCUUGGGAAUUUUGUUUACAAAAUCAUGACGAACUUUUUCCACGAAGACUGAUAAAACCUCAGGCAAUUGAGCUUGUAGCUAAGGCGCAAAAAUACCAAGCUUCUGCUCAAAAUGCACAAUCCAUCCCAUCCCAAUAUGACUUAGAAAGUAAUUUUAAUAUGUUUCUUGAAUCUGCACGUCAAUUAAACAAAUCUUUGGGGAUACCUAAACAUACUAAUAUAGGAUAUACAAAGAGAUAUAUGCAGCACUUACAGCAAAUAUCACAAAGAGUUAAUAGCAUGAAGGAAGACUUCAGCUGUGAGAUUGGGAAAGGACCGAAAGAGAGUUUCACCCAGCUUUCCAGUGGGAGUAUGCCAUUAUCAGAGCUGCAUUUUCCUAUUCAGCUACCUGAUCAACAACAAACUGGGGGGAACACCUUGAACAAUGAUAACCAUUCUGUACAGAGAAAUAUCGAGCCACCUUCUACAAGCAGUGACAUUGCAAGUGCAGGCAACUCCUAUAGUACCACUCCCUCUGUCACUGCUGGUGCUGAGCUUCUCCAUCAGAAUUCAAUGGACUUGCGGAUUGAGAAUCCACAUAACAAUCCUGGCAGUCCUUAUCCUGGGACAUAUGGGUUCUUCAACCACUUCACAAGCUGAGCAUGAUCCUUCUUCAUUCUCAUCAUCAACGCCAUCUUCUACAACUCCAAAGAAAUAAUGAUUUCUUCACAAUAAAGUGGGGGAGGUAUCAUGGUGAGUGUUCUGAAGGGGAUAUUGUGACUAACAUGAUGAAACAUAAAAAUGUUAAUGGUAAUUGCUUUGCAGGCAGGAUACGGUAGUCUUAAAUUGAAGUACUAUGGUGAUGGGGGGUCAUGGAAAUUGGGUGCUCUGCCGUUUCACUAGUCAGUUACUUGGUAUACUUAUUAUUGAGACGACGUUUGCAAGCAGUUGAGGAGGAGAUCAGAGUUACAGUUCAGGUUCAUAGAGCUAACGUGAUAGAGAACCACAACCCCUAGGCCGAUGACGAUUAGAGGACGAGGUACGAGUUUGCUCGACCAUCUUUGGAUGGGACGCAAAUUAGUAUAGUCAGACCUCCUGUAGCGGCCAACAAUUUUGAGAUAAAGACUAAUGUUAUCCAGAUGAUCCAGCAGAGUGUGUAGUUCGGAGGGUUGCCCAACGAGGAUCCCAAUGCACAUAUCGCCAACUUUUUGGAGAUUUGUGACAUAUUCAAGAUAAAUGGAACAACCGAUGACGCCAUUCAGCUGAGAUUAUUUCCAUUUUCCUUGAGGGACAGAGCAAAGAGAUGGUUGUAAUCUCUUCCACAGCAGACGAUUACUACCUGGACGGCGUUGGCAGAAAAAUUUUCUUUAUAAGUAUUUUUCUCCUGCUAAAACUGCUAAACUUAGAAAUGACAUAUCUUCUUUUGUGCAGUUUGAUGAUGAGAGCAUGUACGAUGCAUGAGAAAGGUUUAAGGAUCUUUGAGAUACUGCCCACAUCACGGAUUGCCAGUGUGGAUACAGGUUUAGACCUUCUACAGCGGGUUGAACCUUGCGAUGAGGCAGAUGGUGGAUGCUGCAACAGGUGGGGCGCUAAAUAGUAAGACGCCCGAGCAGGCUUAGAACUUGAUAGAGGAAAUGCCCAUGAACAAUUAUCAGUGGCAAUCCUUUAGGAGCCGACUAGGAAGACAGGGAGUGGUCAACUAAGUGGAUUCU